rnacentral:rRNA from 1 species
GACGUAGGGCGCAAGCGUUGUCCGGAUUUAUUGGGCGUAAAGAGCUCGUAGGCGGUUUGUCGCGUCGUCCGUGAAAACUCACAGCUUAACUGUGAGCUUGCGGUCGAUACGGGCAGGCUAGAGUUCGGUAGGGGAGACUGGAAUUCCUGGUGUAGCGGUGAAAUGCGCAGAUAUCAGGAGGAACACCGGUGGCGAAGGCGGGUCUCUGGGCCGAUACUGACGCUGAGGAGCGAAAGCGUGGGGAGCGAACAGG